rnacentral:rRNA from 1 species
UAUGACAGCUAGGAUGUUGGCUUGGAAGCAGCCAUUCAUUCAAAGAGUGCGUAACAGCUCACUAGUCGAGGGUCCGGGCAUGGAUAAUAAUCGGGUAUAAGGCAGACACCGAAGGCGCGGGAUAGCAAUUAUAAAAGUAUCGGUAGGGGAGCAUACUCACAGCGUCGAAUGGUGUACGUAAGUUAUCCUGGAGCGGUGAGUAAAGCAAAUGUAGGAAUAAGUAACGAUAAGGAGGGUUAGAUUCCCUCCCGCUGUAAGACCAAGGUUUCCCGGGCAAUGCCAAUCAGCCCGGGGUCAGUCGGGUCCUAAGUCUAAGCCGAACGGCGAUGGCGAUGGCAGAGACGGUUAAUAUUCCGUCACUGCCGCAUGGGGCGACGUGGAGACGGAGCAGUGAAACCACCGCGGGGCGACGGAAGUCCCCGUUGAAGAGUGUAGGCGUUGAGGAUGGCAGGCAAAUCCACCGUCCGAGCUGAACUUGAGAGUACGGAGUCCUCCUCGGAGGAAUCUGAUAGUGUGGGUAAUCAUACUCCCGAGAAAAUCCGCUAAGCUUAACCCAUGCGGCACCCGUACCGCAAACGGACACACGUGGUCGGGUAGAACAUACUAAGGCGUUGAGAGAUUCAUGGUUAAGGAACUAGGCAAAUUGACCCUGUAACUUCGGGAUAAAGGGUCCUCGUGAUGAGCGAGGCGCAGAGAAUAGGUCCAGGCAACUGUUUAACAAAAACACAGGGCUGUGCAAACUCGAAAGAUGACGUAUACAGCCUGACACCUGCCCGGUGCCGGAAGGUUAAGAGGAGAUGUCACUCGCAAGAGGAAGCAUUGAAUUGAAGCCCCGGUAAACGGCGGCCGUAACUAUAACGGUCCUAAGGUAGCGAAAUUCCUUGUCGGGUAAGUUCCGACCUGCACGAAUGGUGUAAUGAUCCGGACGCUGUCUCAACCAUGAGCUCAGUGAAAUUGUAGUAUCGGUGAAGAUGCCGAUUACCCGCGAUGGGACGAAAAGACCCCGUGAACCUUUACUACAGCUUAGCAUUGACCUUGGUCAUCCGAUGUGUAGGAUAGGCCGGAGGCUUCGAAGCGGGAGCGCCAGCUUUCGUGGAGCCAUCCUUGAAAUACGGCCCUUUGGCUGUCUGAGGUCUAACGCGCAGAUGCGCGGACACUGCUUGGUGGGUAGUUUGACUGGGGUGGUCGCCUCCAAAAG